AUUGAACGCUGGCGGAAUGCUUUACACAUGCAAGUCGAGCGGGCAGCGCGGGGGCAACCCUGGCGGCGAGCGGCGAACGGGUGAGUAACAUAUCGGAACGUACCCAGUCGUGGGGGAUAACUAUCCGAAAGGAUAGCUAAUACCGCAUAUGCCCUGAGGGGGAAAGCGGGGGAUUCGCAAGAACCUCGCGUUUUCGGAGCGGCCGAUAUCGGAUUAGCUAGUAGGUGAGGUAAAGGCUCACCUAGGCGACGAUCCGUAGCUGGUCUGAGAGGACGACCCGCCACACUGGAACUGAGACACGGUCCAGACUCCUACGGGAGGCAGCAGUGGGGAAUUUUGGACAAUGGGGGCAACCCUGAUCCAGCCAUUCCGCGUGAGUGAAGAAGGCC
rnacentral:rRNA from 1 species